rnacentral:rRNA from 1 species
AGUCACACAUUAGAUACCCGCGUAGUCCCAGCCCUAAACGAUGCGCGUUAGGUGUAUCGGUGACCACGAGUCACCGAGGUGCCGAAGGGAAACCGUGAAACGUGCCGCCUGGGAAGUACGGUCGCAAGGCUGAAACUUAAAGGAAUUGGCGGGGAGCACCACAACGGGUGGAGCCUGCGGUUUAAUUGGACUCAACGCCGGGAAGCUCACCGGAUAAGACAGCGGAAUGAUUGCCGGGCUGAAGACCCUGCAUGACCAGCUG